rnacentral:rRNA from 1 species
CGAGUGGCGGACGGGUGAGUAAUGUCUGGGAAACUGCCUGAUGGAGGGGGAGUAACUACUGGAAACGGUAGCUAAUACCGCAUAACGUCGCAAGACCAAANAGGGGGACCUCGGGCCUCUUGCCAUCGGAUGUGCCCAGAUGGGAUUAGCUAGUAGGUGGGGUAACGGCUCACCUAGGCGACGAUCCCUAGCUGGUCUGAGAGGAUGACCAGCCACACUGGAACUGAGACACGGUCCAGACUCCUACGGGAGGCAGCAUG